AUUGAACACUGGCGGCAUGCCUUACACAUGCAAGUCGAACGGCAGCACGGGUGCUUGCACCUGGUGGCGAGUGGCGAACGGGUGAGUAAUACAUCGGAACAUGUCCUGUAGUGGGGGAUAGCCCGGCGAAAGCCGGAUUAAUACCGCAUACGAUCCACGGAUGAAAGCGGGGGACCUUCGGGCCUCGCGCUAUAGGGUUGGCCGAUGGCUGAUUAGCUAGUUGGUGGGGUAAAGGCCUACCAAGGCGACGAUCAGUAGCUGGUCUGAGAGGACGACCAGCCACACUGGGACUGAGACACGGCCCAGACUCCUACGGGAGGCAGCAGUGGGGAAUUUUGGACAAUGGGCGAAAGCCUGAUCCAGCAAUGCCGCGUGUGUGAAGAAGGCCUUCGGGUUGUAAAGCACUUUUGUCCGGAAAGAAAUCCUUGACUCUAAUACAGUCGGGGGAUGACGGUACCGGAAGAAUAAGCACCGGCUAACUACGUG
rnacentral:rRNA from 1 species